CUCCGGAUGCCAGACGCGCUCCGCGGCGGCGGCGGCGGCCGCGCCUGAUUCAUUGCGCCAAAGCUGCAGAUGCGACCUCCCGCCUGCGCCCUGUGCCCUGGCCUGCGCCGGGCUGCGUGCGCGCCUAGAGAGAUUUGGUGGGGGGGUGGCAAUUUGUAGGCGCUCCCCCCACCCAAGAGGCGGCCCCCCGGGGCCAGGUCCCCAGUCCCUAGCUUCCCGGGCUGCGCUAAUUAGCUUCCUCGGGGGGCGCCACGCGGCGUGAGGGGCGGCAAUUUCCCGGCUGGGCUGCGGGGGAAGCGCUCCCACCGCCUGGGAAGUGCACCGUCUCCAUGGAAACCGCGGAGGAGGUCACGGUAGCUGGGCCCCCGCGCGUCACCCCGCGCCUCGCCGGCUGCAGACGCCCGGAUUGCGGCCUCCCAGGCGCCGCGGCCCGCGUGGACUCUACUCCGAGUUCCCUGCCCCCACUCCACUCCGCCCGCGGCUCUGACCAUGUGACUAUCGGGUCCCAACUGGGAACCGCGCACCUGGGCAUCCGUGCGCUAGGCUAUGCCUCUGUCCUCGGGCUCUGGCACGCGGGAAUCAGCGAAGAAACACGUGCCCGGCUCCAACACGCCAACGUGUGCGGCAAGACGCCGCCAAGGGGCUUCCAGCACUUCUGAAUACCUUGGGGGAUCAACCUAUAUAGGCGCACAACUCCAGAGCUCUGGCUAAAACCAGACCACCCGUGGUUAAGAACGAGGGCACGAGAAUCAGCCGAAAUCUGCCUAGUAACUUACUAUGUGACUUCGGGCGAGUCACAACCUCUCUGCGUCUCACCUUGCUCGUCAGCAAAAUGGAAUUGUUGUGACACUUGAGACAAAGUACGUUAAACGCUUAACACUGGUAGUCACGUGGUUCCGAAAAAGGG